rnacentral:rRNA from 1 species
UGGGGAAUUUUGGACAAUGGGCGAAAGCCUGAUCCAGCAAUGCCGCGUGUGUGAAGAAGGCCUUCGGGUUGUAAAGCACUUUUGUCCGGAAAGAAAUCCUUGGCUCUAAUACAGUCGGGGGAUGACGGUACCGGAAGAAUAAGCACCGGCUAACUACGUGCCAGCAGCCGCGGUAAUACGUAGGGUGCAAGCGUUAAUCGGAAUUACUGGGCGUAAAGCGUGCGCAGGCGGUUUGCUAAGACCGAUGUGAAAUCCCCGGGCUCAACCUGGGAACUGCAUUGGUGACUGGCAGGCUAGAGUAUGGCAGAGGGGGGUAGAAUUCCACGUGUAGCAGUGAAAUGCGUAGAGAUGUGGAGGAAUACCGAUGGCGAAGGCAGCCCCCUGGGCCAAAUACUGACGCUCAUGCACGAAAGCGUGGGGGAGCAAACAGGAUUAGAUACCCUGGUAGUCCACGCCCUAAAACGAUGUCAACUAGUUGUUGGGGAUUCAUUUCCUUAGUAACGUAGCUAACGCGUGAAGUUGACCGCCUGGGGAGUACGGUCGCAAGAUUAAAACUUAAAUGAAUUGACGGGGUCAUAGC